rnacentral:lncRNA from 1 species
ACAGGAAGUACUAUAACAAAAGACUCGACAAUCUUAACUAGACUGACAAACUCGAUACUACUGUACAAGACUAAAAAUUAAAAGACAACAUAAGAUAGACUAAAAAAUAAAAAGUUUCCUCAAGCAGCUCGUGCAUGCAAUGGUCUUGACUAGAAUGGUCCUGGGUAUUUGUCAUGCUCAAACUCUAGCAAAUUGCUCCAUACCUGAAUGGAAAAAAUAAGAUCAAAUAGAGUUAGUGACUCAAGACACAUGUGACGCCACGAUAAUGACCUACGUAGCCAAAAUGUGGCUAUUAGCGCAAACUCAACAAAGAUGACCUCAGAGACAUGGACAUACCUCCCUAAGGCUUAUAUGGAUUCAAACUCCCAAUAAUCAUGGCCCAAAAUUAAUUUGCAGAAAUGACCGAUAUGGUCAGAAGUGGCUAAAGAUGCAAACUCAAAAAGGAAGGACCUUAAAGUAAGAUGACACCUAAUUGUGGACUCAAGAUCAUAAGACAUGGGUAAUUGAACUGCUUUGCAAAAAUGACCCCAUUUUGCAAUAAUGGCCAAAAGUGGCUAGACAUGCAAAAUUUAGCUAAGACCCCGCAAAGCCAAAAACCUAAGACUCACUAGGAAGACCGGACCCUAUGUGGGUUGCCUACGUAUCACGUCUCAAAAGACGAGAAUCAGGUAUGCGUAGUUCGGGAAGAUUGGAUAUGGGAGAAAGCUUAAAAAAUGACACUAAUUUGGCAAUAUAUAUAUUUUUUUCUUUUUGAAAAAUGAUGGAAAAUGGAAAAUCUUUUUGGAUUUUUUUAUUUUUUAUUUUUUUUAUUUUUUCGGAAAAUAAUGGAAAAGUGCAAAAUCUUUUUGGAUUUUUUUUUGAUUUUUUGGAAAAUAAUGGGAAAUUGUAAAAUCUUUUUGGAUUUUUCAUUUUUAUUUUUUUUUGAUUUUUGGAAAACUAUGAAAGAAAAAUGCGAGUGGGCCCUACUUGCUUCAUUUUUAUACUUUACUCUCUUUUCUUUUUCAUUUGCCCUCAACUAUCAUUGGUCCGCCAAAUGACCAUUUUACCCUCAAAGAUGCAACAUGUAUCAUAUAGGGAUGAUUGAAUGUCUUUUUGGGCCACAGACCCAUUUUUGACAAAAUUUGGAUAGGCUUCCUACAAAGGGACACGGUGCCUGGGACCGAGCCCUACUAGGUCUAGAUGACAUGAUGCAAAUAAGAAUGACCUAAACGCUAACCUAAGUUUGGGGUUCACUAAUAAGGCGAUUCGGGGGAGCGUAUGGUCGAUAGUGGCUGCUCAAGCUUUCCACCUACUCCAUACGUCCGAUGGCCCCCCUCCUAAAUUAAGGGUGACUCAACAAAGAGUUCGUGCACGCGACGCGUACUCCGAGACUUGUUGCAGAAAAAAGACCCAUGGUUAUGCAAAUGAUGGCAGUUUAUAAAGUAGUAACACAUUAAGAAAAACGAUAAACAAACAACCAACAAAAUGGGAAAUAAGACAAACAAACCAACUAAACAAAGCAAAUAAAGAAAACAAACACCUCAACCGAAUAUCCUAAAAGCCAACAAAAUCAAGUACCAGCUCGAACCUGCAAAUUCCCAGCAGAGUCGCCAAAGAUAUCAUGCCCCUUUUUUACAAACCUCACUUAACCCUCCUAAAUUAAUAAAAAAGAUUUAGUAAAAGCUUGAAAAGGGUUUUAAUUAAAAGUGACAAAAAAUGUGUUCAAAAGGAAGUAACUCAGAGUUUUCACCUAACUUUGAUUUCGGUGUGCCAGGUCACCGUUUUUUUUUUUUAAAAAAAAAAAUUCCUUNNNNNNNNNNNNNNNNNNNNNNNNNUGACUUUUAAAAUAUUCGAAUUGAGGUAAUAAACACGGAAAAACAAAAUAAACAUACACGAGGUUUGAGGUCGUCCCUACCUAAUAAAAGAAAAAUAAAAAUAAAAUAAAAUACUACAAGCUCUACUUUUAGCCUCCAAAUACAAGUACUACGGGGCAUUCCCCGGAAUAAAAUAUAUACAAGUCCUUCGGGGCAUUCUCCGGAUAUAUUUAACUAAGGAACGACCUCUCGCCUCAAAAUCCAAACAAAAUCCUAAGGCUUGCUUACCCACCACAAAUGAUUUCUUAAAGUUGCCUAAAUUGUUGGAUCUAAAACAUGUCACUAACGACCCAAGUAACUAAAAGAUCAAACUCAUAUUAAGCCUAAGUCCAUUCUCUUUGCUAAUUUAAUCUGUCAACCCUUAUGGCCCAUUGAUCAUUGUUUUUCCUAAUCCAAGUUCACAUGUAAUAAUUCACAAAACAGUAGGCAACUCAACCUUCAUAUGUAUUCAUUAAUCUAAUUUCGAAUAAGAUGAGAAAAUCGAAUAUAACGGACUAGCAAAUAGAGCGCCUAAAGCACACCAAACAAACUCAAAUGAGAAAUCUACUCAAAAAUAUUCAAAUAAUUGUGUAAGAGAAACGAAAUGGACCUCAAUAUAGCUGAAAAUUGAUUGCUCAACUGCUUUGAACUCAAAAAUGUGACGAACCUUGGACGGGAACUCGAAUCGGCAACCAAAAUCAAGAAAAUGUUAGGAGAAUUUUCUUCAGUAUAACAAUGGAAAGAAACAUCAAAUACACAACCUUUGGUUCCGAAAUUCAACAAGAAAGAACACCAAAGUAGACGUGCAGAACUUUUUGCCGAAUAACCCCUACGAGCAGCAACAAAAUCAGCCAGAACCUCAGUUAGAAUUGACGGACUCAAUGAAAGAUGACAAGCUAACCGGUUUCCGGCGAAGCUCGACUUCGAGCACAGCUUCAAUGCACGAUUUCAGAGCUGAAUAAACAGUGACCUUUUUGUGUGAGUUUCAGCUGGUACGAAGGAGAAAAAAUCGAGGUGUCAAUGGUUGUUGUUCGACUGAUUUUCAGUUCCGUUUUGAGAUGAGAAAAAGAUAGUUUUCGAGUUGGUUUUGGGGGGAUUUUCCGGUUAGUUUCUGCCGGUUCCCGACGAAGCUCACUAGCAAUGGAAGCCGGAUGUUUGAGAUCUAAAUAAGGUUGGGAUUGAAGUGCUCUUGUGUGAUGGAAAACGGCGUUGCAACUGGUUUUGUUGCGGGAGAUUUGAGAGGAGUUGGGGUGGUGCGGUCACUGGGAGAUGGAGGGGAGGUCUGGCGGCGUUCAGGGUGGUCGUUUGGUGGCUGUUUAUGGCUGGUCGGAGUGGGUUGGCAGCGGUGUAGGGUGCUGUGGAAAGGAGGGGUCUUGGGCGGCUGGUGUAACUUUUGUAGGGUUAGGGUUUUUUGGCUUGUCUUGGUUUAAGAAGAAGGGCAACCAUGGAUCCUAAAGUUGUCUUCUAGGGUUUUUCUUGUUGAG